rnacentral:rRNA from 1 species
UAAAGAAAGUAAGAAAGGGCGUAUGGCGGAUGCCUAGGCUCACGGAGGCGAUGAAGGACGUGAUAAGCUGCGAUAAGCUUCGGGUAGGUGCAAAUAACCUUUGAUCCGGAGAUUUCCGAAUGGGACAACCUAGCCGUCUGAAGGACGGUUACUCAAUCUUCAAGAUUGAGAGCUAACGCAGGGAACUGAAACAUCUUAGUACCUGUAGGAAGAGAAAAUAAAUGAAUGAUUCCCCCAGUAGUGGCGAGCGAACGGGGAAC